rnacentral:rRNA from 1 species
CGAAAGCCUGACGGAGCAAGACCGCGUGGGGGAUGAAGGCUCUUGGGUUGUAAACCCCUUUUCUCAGGGAAGAAGUUCUGACGGUACCUGAGGAAUCAGCAUCGGCUAACUCCGUGCCAGCAGCCGCGGUAAGACGGAGGAUGCAAGCGUUAUCCGGAAUUAUUGGGCGUAAAGCGUUCGUAGGUGGCUGUUCAAGUCUGCCGUUAAAGACUGGGGCUUAACUCCGGAAAAACUGUGGAAACUGAACAGCUAGAGUAGGGUAGGGGUAAGGGGAAUUCUCGGUGUAGCGGUGAAAUGCGUAGAUAUCGGGAAGAACACCGGUGGCGAAGGCGCCUUACUGGACCCUAACUGACACUGAGGGACGAAAGCUAGGGGAGCG